ensembl:lncRNA
UGUUUUUUCUGGUGAUUUAAUCAUAAUAUUGACAACUUUAUCAAAAAUUACAAAACUGAUAUUAAAAAAAUUCUCUAAUUCUUAGUAAGACUAGAAUGGGUUUUUUUAAAAAAUAGAAAAGCACUUUUAUGCUACGGCUCUUCUGGAAUUCUCACAUUACAACCCUACAUAGCAAAAUACAAACUGUAGCUAAGAAAGGUAAUUCAGUCCUAAGGUAAUUCAGUCCACCACGAGCCCUCUAAUAUCUCUAGACCAUCAAACUCAGGGACUCCAAAAGGAUUUCACAUGACUUAUAAACCUUCUGCAAAGAUGAUUUCAGAAAGACCUUGGAAUUUGAAGUUUCUCUUAACCCCUAAAACCUUAGACUGUGAGGAUAACAGACCUGGGACAUCAGAGGUGGGGUGGGUUUGGUUUUUUUUUUUUCCUUUUUUCUUUUUUUAAAAUUAUUUGUAACUAUGUGGAUAUUAUUUUUUUUUUUGCAGCUGAUACCAGCCAGGAAGUUGAAAAUACAUGAAGAAGAAAAUCCAUCGAAAGAAAUGAAAAUAUUUUUGUUUCGUUUCGUUUAUGGCGUUCACACAACGCACCAUAAUAGAAAGAGGAAUAUUUCCUUUAAUUUGAAUGUCAUCUGAAUGACUCAACCACAUUGUCACCCACUUAAGCAAAAGAAAGCAUAAUAAAUAAAUAAAUAAAUAGACAAGAAUAUGCAACACUUUACAUCCUCAAGGAAUCACGGCGUUCCCUAAAUCUACCGAGGUCCUGAUCGGCGUCGUGGGCUCGCUGUACUCAGCCACUUUCGGGUGAUUGUGCCAUGUUAAUGACAAAUCCAGUGGUGUUCCACUUUCCACAAUGGAGUAUUUUUUUGUGUGUUUUUUUGUCUUUUAUUUUUUUCUCCACCUUUUAAAUAUAGGAAUUCUCUCUUAAAUUAGAAAGUAGGCAAAAAGUAUUUUUUUUUUUAAAUUUUCAUUUUUAAGUCUUCUAUUAGAAAAAAUAGAGAUUUAUUAAACAAAAAAUAAUAAGGUAGAAAGAAGGGUUGGGCCUCCAUCAAAAAAGUAGAUUAUGCUUUAAUGCAAAGAGAAAGAAAUGGCUCUAUGGGCAAAAUUCAAGUAUGAGUGACCAGUUUUUUAAUCGUAAAGUCGGUGCAACAUUUCUUAAAAUGUUACAACACUGCAUGACCUGUAAUGCUCACAAUAUUUACAUUAACUGCUUACAUGAAACCAUAAAAACUCUAAAAAAGAAAAAAAAAAAAAAGAAUUGGUAUGGACUGAAACAAACUACUCCUAGCACCCACAUCAAUGCCAUUAUUAACCGAGGAAAUCAAGUGCACGAGAAUACUUUACAUAAUCUUAGGGAUGUAAAGUAAAUCAGCGGGGAGGGAGCACAGACCUACGGGCCAAAGGAGACACAAACUCAGCUCUGGGACACGAAGCAGAGGGAGGAGGCAAAGGAAAUCCCGAGGGAGAGGGGCUCCAGCGCUCGGAUUGGGAUGGAAGAGCCAAGGGCCACCAGGACACGGCCGCAGGAGAACGGGAGCUGGCGGCUCCGCGAGGAGGAGGAGGAGGAGAGACAAACGAACCUGCCCGAGGAAGAAGGGGACCCCGCCCGGGUCAGGAGCCAGCCCGGGAGCCCCGAGGUAGCUGCGUGCCCGGGCACCCAGCCCCGCUGCCAGCGCUGCCCUGCGGCACCCACGGGUGCCACUGGGGCGAGAGGAGAAGGAGUCACGAUCCAUCCUCGGGAUCCUCGGGAUCCUUGGGAUCCCCAAUCCUGGGACCCUCGGGGUGCUGAGCCAGAGAGCGACGGGCGGGACGCGGGGCCAAGGAGCUCUGAGGUAAGCGGUGGUCCCGGCGCCAGGGUGGGAGGCAAAGCUCCACCCGGGGCUGGGAAUGGUGCCUGGAGUUCUCCUGGGAAGCCUCGAGCGUGCCACGGCUUCCGCCACCAUCGCCACCGGCCGUGUGGAAAAGGAAAAUGAAAUCAAAUGGAAAGAAUGUUGUGCUACACUUCCGUUCGUUAAUUUUAUAAUGGCUCAUAGCUUUAGACUUUUAAAUCUGUAGUGUAUUAAUUUUUUUUUUUUCUACAUAUGUUUCACAUUUCUCACUUAAUAUAACAUAAAUAAUUUGGUUAAUAGAUUUAACCUGCGCAUUUCAGCCACAUUAAUAUAUAUAAGAAUCUGUUAAUGGUAUAAAUAAUUCUUUUUAAAUAAAAUAAAUCUGAUAUGUUACAUAAUACUGAUAAAAAUUACUGUUGCUAAUAGUUUUGUAAGCCACCCUUAACUUUUUUUUCCGUUUUAAUACUGCGAGAUGGACCCUGGGAUUGCUUUUCCCGGACACUGCGGAGCGUUGCCCUUUCAUCCUACUGCCAAACCAAAGGAAAUGGACAGCAAUCAAUCCUGAUCACUCCUCAAAGCAGGGCCUCU